rnacentral:rRNA from 1 species
GAUGAACGCUAGCGGCAGGCUUAAUACAUGCAAGUCGAGGGGCAGCACGGUUAGCAAUAACUGGUGGCGACCGGCGCACGGGUGCGUAACACGUAUACAAUCUACCUUAAACAGGGGAUAGCCUUUCGAAAGAGAGAUUAAUACCCCGUAAUAAAUUGAACGGCAUCGUUUGAUUUUGAAAGCUCCGGCGGUUUGAGAUGAGUAUGCGUCUGAUUAGCUAGUUGGUGAGGUAACGGCUCACCAAGGCGACGAUCAGUAGGGGAUCUGAGAGGACUAACCCCCACACUGGUACUGAGACACGGACCAGACUCCUACGGGAGGCAGCAGUAAGGAAUAUUGGUCAAUGGAGGCAACUCUGAACCAGCCAUGCCGCGUGCAGGAUGACGGCCCUAUGGGUUGUAAACUGCUUUUAUACAAGAGAAAACCCUGGUACGUGUACCAGGUUGAUAGUAUUGUAAGAUAAGCAUCGGCUAACUUCGUGCCAGCAGCCGCGGUAAU